rnacentral:tRNA from 1 species
AGAAAGAUAAGCUAAUUAAAGCUAUUAGGUUCAUACCCUAACUAUAGAAAUUACAUUCUUCUUUCUA